rnacentral:rRNA from 1 species
GACGAACGCUGGCGGCGUGCUUAACACAUGCAAGUCGAACGGUGAAGCGCCUUCCUUUUUGGUGGGUGUGGAUGAGUGGCGAACGGGUGAGUAACACGUGAGUAACCUGCCCCCUUCUUCUGGAUAACCGCAUGAAAGUGUGGCUAAUACGGGAUAUUCUGGGUCUGUCGCAUGAUGGGUCUGGGAAAGAUAUUGUUUCGGUGGGGGAUGGGCUCGCGGCCUAUCAGCUUGUUGGUGGGGUGAUGGCCUACCAAGGCGGUGACGGGUAGCCGGCCUGAGAGGGUGGACGGUCACACUGGGACUGAGACACGGACCAGACUCCUACGGGAGGCAGCAGUGGGGAAUAUUGCACAAUGGGCGGAAGCCUGAUGCAGCGACGCCGCGUGAGGGAUGGAGGCCUGCGGGUUGUGAACCUCUUUCGCCAGUGAAGCAGGCCUGCCUCGUUUGUGGGUGGGUUGACGGUAGCUGGAUAAGAAGCGCCGGCUAACUACGUG